rnacentral:rRNA from 1 species
UAGGGAAUAUUGCGCAAUGGACGAAAGUCUGACGCAGCAACGCCGCGUGGGUGAUGAAGUUCCUUGGAGCGUAAAACCCUGUCAGUGGGGAAGAAACGUACGGGGAGUAACUGCCUCGUACCUGACGGUACCUACAGAGGAAGUCCCGGCUAACUCCGUGCCAGCAGCCGCGGUAAUACGGAGGGGACAAGCGUUGUUCGGAUUUACUGGGCGUAAAGGGCGCGUAGGCGGACCUUCAAGUCGGAUGUGAAAACCAGCAGCUUAACUGCUGGCCUGCAUUCGAUACUGUUGGCCUUGAGUACGAGAGAGGAGAGUGGAAUUCCAGGUGUAGCGGUGAAAUGCGUAGAUAUCUGGAAGAACACCAGUAGCGAAGGCGGCUCUCUGGCUCGAUACUGACGCUUAAGCGCGAAGGCAUGGGGAGCAAACA